rnacentral:misc_RNA from 1 species
GAUGAAGAACGCAGCGAAAUGCGAUAAGUAAUGCGAAUUGCAGAAUUUCCGUGAGUCAUCGAAUCUUUGAACGCACAUUGCGCCCGCCAGUAUUCUGGCGGGCAUGCCUGUUCGAGCGUCAUUUCAACCAUCAAGCCCCCGGCUUGUGUUGGGGACCUGCGGCUGCCGCAGGCCCUGAAAACCAGUGGCGGGCUCGCUAGUCACUCCGAGCGUAGUAAUACAUCUCGCUCAGGGCGUGCUGCGGGUUCCGGCCGUUAAAAAGCCUUAUUUACCCAAGGUUGACCUCGGAUCAGGUAGGAAGACCCGCUGAACUUAAGCAUAUCAAUAAGCGAGGA